UUGCCGCUGACGCGGGACUCACAUAACAAGCCUCCCUGCCUCAGUUUCCCCAUGGCUCCCUCCAUUCCCAAUGCCCUGUUGGUAGCGUCCAGUCCCAUCCCUGCCCAGGGAAUGACCACUCUCUCCCAGGGAGGCCUGCAAACACGACGCCAACCCCCCUGCCAGAGCUAUUUGGGCUGAUUUAUAAUGGUUAUAAAAGAGGUCAGAGCUUGAUUAAGCUUAAUAGAUCCAUUAAUUACGCCAAACAAAACAAACAUAAUGAACAUAACAAUUUACGACCUCCGUCGCCCGUUCAGAUGUGUCCCCUCGUCAGGCCUUGACAGAUUCUGCAGAGCCCGUCCAUGUCACCACCUUGUAGGGACCAACGGCCUGUGGCUGUGUGGCCACGGGGAAGGUGGUGGGUGGCAGGGGUGGAAUGCCUCGCCAGACUCCGCCGCUGAGGGAAGAGUCGACCUGGAACCACCAUCCUGAGCGCCCAUCUCCGCAGCCCACAGAGCGGCACGGGGCAAGUGAGCACGGUGGUCACAUCAUCGUGGUUGGCCUGACUACUGGUCCGAUCCCCGGCUUUACCGCUUAAUAACUAUAUGCCGCUGGGUGAGUUAGUUCAUGUUUCCGGAUCCUCAUCUGUGCAUCUGUGGAAGGGGAAGUAGCCAGAGCAGCUAUCCCUCGGGGUUUGUUGCCGGAUUAACUGAGUUAAUGCGUCUAAGGUGCCGGGACUGUGUCACCUGUGUUUCUUUGGGCCUUACUGUUACUACGGUUUGAAUUAAGGCGGGAAACCAUCUAUCGCUCCGAUGUUUCUUGAGGAGCUUCAACUUUUCCCCUUUUCUGAGAGACAGGGAAACCUGUCCUGAAGCUACCCAUCACCAAGCACUGAAGUCUACCAAGUGCCUAACACGCGCGUGGCUAAGGGCUGAAGGAGCGAGACCCGCGGUGUCUGUCCAGAAAUGGCUUAAAGCAUCAGUAAGAGCCCAGAAGGUCAUCUAACGGCCUUCUACCCACCUUGCCAUUUUCCACAGGUGGAGCGGAAGAACAAGAAAGGUUCGAAGGGGCUGGUUCAAGGAGGCUGGAACGGUCACCCUGGGGCUUCUAACCAGUCCAGGUGUCUUCCUCUCACGCCGUCCCUUGAACACGCAAACGCCCAUCCUCCCACCCACGCGGUUUAUCACACACCAAAAGAGACCACGCCAGGAAGAAGAGAAAGCAGUGUGGGAAGACAUGAAUUGAAACCAGAAACCGUAACGCGCUGGCUUGGCGUGACCGUUCUUCAAGUUCCCAACGCUCUUUGGUUUCUGAAUCCAACGGUUCUUAUCUUCUCUGGGUCUUUGCUCGAGCUUGUCCCACCCCCUGAAAUGCCCUCCUCCCCUCCUUGUUCCUUUGACCAACUCCAUUCCCAUCUCGAGACUCAGCUGAGCUUUUGCCUCUUCUUCAGCUUCCCUUAGCCAUCCCGUGAUGUCCCAGAAAUAAUGGCGCCCUCGCCCCUUCUCUGCUGCCCCUCCAGCCCCGCCACGAUCUCUUCUCUCUGUGGCAAUUAAUGCUGCGUUGCGACGUCAUUGUUAUUUUUGGCUUGGUCAUCUUCUUAUUCACCAAAAAAUAUACUGAGCACCUGCUACGUGCCAGGCGCUGUCCUCGGCACUGGGAACAUGGUGGUGAACUACAGAGUCACAGCCCUUGAUCUCAUGGAACUUACCACCUAGUGACACUAAUCUCACUUGUGCAUCUUUGAAUCCUCUGUGCCCACCAAGGGCCUAACAAGCCUGAUGCGGGAGGGGCUGGGGUGCUUGGGGGGAGGGGGAGGGGCAGAGGCUGGCUGUGGGUGGGCUGGCUGGGGAAGGCCAGCAGGCAGGUGGAUGACUGGGACCUCUUCACAGAGCAGAGGCAGGAGUUAUGGUUCUGCCUGGAGCCCACCCACAGGGCUGGCGACAGGCCUGGGGGAGUACAGAGAUAUCCACUCGGUGUGGUUUAACCAUAUAUAACCCUCCCCCAUCCAUUACUCCAUUCUGGGAUAUCAAUUCCUAGUCGGUCACUCGGCCCACAAGACCCUGAAAAUAGAUUUAAAUUAUUGCUUUAUUUCCCAUCCAGCUCAGGGUGUUGAUUUAUGCUGCCCAAACAAUCAAGGCUUUAUCUCAGUCACCCAGCAGCAUUAGGAGCAAUUUAUCAUGGUUUACUUCUCUCUCUGCUACCCGACGCUGGUGCCUAUUGGCUGUGUCCUUCUCAGAAGCUGCAGCACCAAGUGGGCCUGAGCGACAAUGGCAGCAGAGGCCAGGGUCCCUCUCUGACAGCCUGGAGCAAGGGGACAAGAACAUGCUUAACCCGGAGACCCUUUUAUCUCUCGGAGAGCAGAAAGACGCUGGGGCCCGGAUGCCCGGCAUCCUCGUCCCAGCUGGGCUAUUAACCAGCUGAGGAACUUGAGCAAAUCGGUUCCGCUCCCUGGGUCUCCACCUCCUCAUCUUUGACCCUCUCUGGCCACUGAGGUCUCCGGAAAGAGCCGGGGCAGCUUGGAGAGCUGUCCCCACACAAGAGCUUUGGCUUUUGGUUUUACGAGCUUCACCUCGACAACCCUGCGCCCACCUCCCCGUCGGGAGACAGACCGCGGCCACGUGAACGCCCUGAGCUCUGCGUGACCCUACCCUGUCGGAACAGGGAAACGUCUGCCAAACCUCGGCUAGAUGACUGGCGUGUCUGAGACCAGGAGGAGAAGCUUCCGGAACACAGCGUAACAAUUGAGCGGAUAGUACGGCGGGGCACGGCAGACGUGGGCUCCAGCCUCUCCCCCACCAGCCCACACACCCCCGGCCUGGCCUGGGCCAGCAAGGCGUUUGCGGGCGGGCAGGGUUCUCAGGCCGGAAUGACCCCCAAGGAGGCUCCCAGACCCUUCAAGAGGCCCCACGCUUCGGAGGACAGAAGUGUGUGGACAGUUCUAAGCAAAGCUGCGGUGGCCUUUGUCCAAUAACACAGAGACGUCUGGAUAUUUGAAAUCCAGCAAGAGAUUUCUUGGAGUAAGGGGUAUGGGCAGGGGGUGGGGGAUGAGAAUUUCCUCGGUGACAGAAUUCAUUAAUGGGAUUAAUUAAUUAAUUGAAGAGCUCCUAAAUCACUGAUAUCCCUUAAGACAGAAAAUACGUGGCUCAGGGGGAGGGCGUAUGGCCUACGAAAUAUUGCUCCCAAUUUCCUUUCUGAAAAUACACACAAACAAGAUAAGCAUUCCCCUCACCCCCAUCAUAUCAGACCUUUAAAAAUCCCUCUCUGGUUAGAAAGGCUUUUUUUUUUUUUUUUUUUUUAAAUCUUUAUUUUUGACAGAGAGAGAGACAGACAGAGAGAGAGAGGUGGACACAG